CGCGGCGUAGCUCAACAGGAGAGCGGCCUCUAUCUAAGGGGCGCCACGAUGGCGGUGCAGGUGCGAAUCCUGCCGCCGCGCCCA
rnacentral:tRNA from 3 species